GCCAGUUAUCUCACUACUUUCUAAUGGCCAGGAUGAGUCAAUUAGGGUUCUAAAGGUCUGGUUAAUGCUUUUAUGACACCACGCGAAUGCCAAAUAUUUCCUCAACUAACAUGAGGAACAUCAGGCAUCCAAAGUGCCACAUAACCGUCAGCAUCAUUUUGACCAUUCCAGUAUACGCCGGACAGUCGCGAUGAUUCUUGCUACUUACCUAAGGUACACUAGAUCCGGUGUAGGAUCUUUCACUCAAGCAUAACAUACCCAAGCAACCCCUUAAAAAUAAAUCAGACAAAUUGAAUAAGUGAUCUUGUUUUUAAGGUAACCUCUCUUUUUAAAUAUUUAGGCUCCCCAGCAGAGUCGCCAGUUCUGUCAUACGGUGAACUGGACUUUUUGUGCUUUUAUCGCAA
rnacentral:lncRNA from 1 species